rnacentral:rRNA from 1 species
ACGAACGCUGGCGGCAUGCCUAACACAUGCAAGUCGAACGAUUGCCUUCGGGUGAUAGUGGCGCACGGGUGCGUAACGCGUGGGAAUCUGCCCUUAGGUUCGGAAUAACAGCUGGAAACGGCUGCUAAUACCGGAUGAUAUCGCGAGAUCAAAGAUUUAUCGCCUGAGGAUGAGCCCGCGUUGGAUUAGGUAGUUGGUGGGGUAAAGGCCUACCAAGCCGACGAUCCAUAGCUGGUCUGAGAGGAUGAUCAGCCACACUGGGACUGAGACACGGCCCAGACUCCUACGGGAGGCAGCAGUGGGGAAUAUUGGACAAUGGGCGCAAGCCUGAUCCAGCAAUGCCGUGUGAGUGAUGAAGGCCCUAGGGUUGUAAAGCUCUUUUACCCGGGAAGAUAAUGACUGUACCGGGAGAAUAAGCCCCGGCUAACUCCGUG